AUGCCAAAAUGCAAUCUGCAUAGCCAUAGAAAAAAAAUGAUUAAUAUUCUAACUCUUAAUCCUUUAUGCAUGUGAGAUUGAAUGAUUAGACUAAUAUAAUAAAUUCAUUUGCAAUUCCGUAUGUGAGAAACUGUCAGAAAGCAAGUUCAUGCUUUUCUUUUUCGUACAGAAAAUUUGAUGGCGCACAUAUAAAAAAAGAUAGUGAGCUUUAUACAACAGUUUUGGAACUUGAAUUCCUCUGCUGGGUUUAUAUCAAUGGCUACAAUUAUCUAAAAUAUAAACAUGGGUCUUUUUGUUUUCUGUUAGGCAAUGUUUAAAUAUAUUGGGAAGAAAAAUAAAAAAACUAGAGAGAGAGAGAGAGAGAGAAUGUGUAUUUAUUUGGGUAGGCUGGAGCUAGAGCUGCAGCUGGAGGUGACACCAACUUAAAAAAGAUCAUGCAAACUUGUUGUAGACACUCAGUUCUUUUGCCUUCUUCAAUUCAAUCUACCUAAUAGUAAUAACUAUAUUUCUGUUUUAUGCUGCUUCUUUAAUAAUCAUGGUCUCCUCUCCAUCAUGGAUAUUUCUCAAGAUAACUCUUUAACAUCUCUUUUAGUCUUCCAAAACACCAUCAACAGAGAGUUAAUCAGGAGUUUGCAUGUGUACCGGUUGGAGGAUGAGAAAGAAAAAGAAGUAGAAAGAGAGUUUCUUUUUGCUUUGGAUAGUCCAUAUGUUGAAAUGGCAGCAAACCCACUUCUCAGGAUGGUGAAAUUUCGGGUCAUGGAGCUUCUUGAAGGGCAAGUGAUCGGUUUAUGGCUCUGCAUUUUUGCAUUUCAUGUUGAUCAUCCUCCUCAUUUGAUCCACAUUCCUUCUUUACUCUCAAUGUCUAGAAACCCCAAGCUGAAAUCAAUUCCAACACUGGCCAAUGAUCUCCAAUUAAUUUUCAAGUUGAGCUGCAGAACAGCAGAUGAAGAGUCAUUGCAAUUUUUCUUCCAGGGAAAAUGCAAAAGAGACAGAGGAGAUUGCUAUCAGUCUAAGAGAAGUCUGCCUGUGUUAGAUCAGGAUCUAAACUGCCUUCCUUAUUCAGGUCCUACAUCUGAAUUAUCAAGAAAGCAACAAAUUGAAUUGAGAGAUCCAGGUAGAGCAGCAAAGAAGAAAAAAAGAGCAGCCACUGAAGACAUAGCUAGAAUUGCAUUAGAAGAUCUUGUCAAGUACUUUGAUCUUCCUAUUGUGGAAGCUUCAAGAAAUCUGAAAGUUGGACUUACAGUGCUGAAGAGGAAGUGUAGGGAAUUCGGUAUUCCCCGUUGGCCUCAUAGGAAGAUCAAAUCCCUUGACAGUCUCAUUCGUAAUCUCCAGGAAGAGGCAGAACGACAAAAGCAAGAGAAUGAGGAUGCUGCUAUGGCUGUGGCAAAGAGGCAAAGAAUGUUGGAGAGGGAAAAGGAAACUAUAGAGAGGAAACCAUUCAUGGAGAUACAAAGCGAGACGAAGAGAUUCCGGCAAGAUGUUUUCAAGAGAAGGCAUAGAGCUAGAGCACUUAAAAACCAGGGCUUAUGAAUCUCUCUCUAUGAAUUGGGAAGAAAUUGGACAAUAUGAGCAGAACUAUUUUAUUUAAAAUCUGAGAACCCUUAAUACCAUAUGUACAGCUUGAAGAAGAUGUUACAAUGGGGUGUCUGCUGACCCAUACAUGACUGCUUACUUACAUCUUAUUACAAGGCACAUGGAAGAGUUGACCAAUAUUACAAGGUCAACUUUGAGGUCAACAAGUGGCGUUGAAUAUCCUCUGAAUGCUGGUUACAUGUGGGAGGACACAGAAACAAGAAUCAGAAUGUGAUGAUACAUUGUCAUGGGGUGAAGACCCAACAGCUAAAAGAACCUGACGUGCAGGGAGGUGGUUAGGCUGGUUCAAAGCCUCAAUUGAAAGGACUUCAAUUUUGGAGUAGGAACACACAUGACAACCAUAAAGUCCACCAGCUUUGACUACCUUUCUAUGUCCCUCAAUAUUGCCAUUAACUAAGAAAAUGAUAUGCAGCUUGACAAAUGUAUACCAAUCAUAUAAUCUCAUUUCACCGGAAUUCAAAUUAUUCAUACAUACAGUUCUCUGUAGUCUACUCUUGCCACCAAACUGAUUUUAUUAUUAGAAAAAAAUUAUAAUUUAAUAGAAGUA